rnacentral:sRNA from 1 species
CAGUGUGACUUUGGCCUUGGGUAGAAAGUAUGUGCUUCAGGCAGGCAGCUUCUUGACAUCACAUUUAGCAUGAAGCCAGGAAUGCUGGCACGUCUGGGAUAGGACCAGAAUGCACUUGAGACAUUUUAAAAGUCAUCUACUCAUUGUUUAAAAUGACAAAAACUUGCUGCUCAUAAAAUGGUAAAGAAGAUGAUAAAAUUCUUCUGUGAGGUCUCAUCUAGAGAGUGAAUUCUUCUAAACAUCUUAAUUUUCUUUCUCUCCUAAGCUCUAAGGAAUGCCUAAGGUUGGAGAAGAAUCCACAAGAUUUAGAGAGAGCAGAGAAGGCACUUAAGAUAGAUUUGGAAAUUGGGACCUGAAGACAGCAAAGGUUCUCUGCCGCCAUGUGGAAAGGAAGAAAGUUAUCUUUGCCCAGUUCAAGGAAAAAAAUGUGUGAAAGCAACAGCGGAGUGUGUCAGACUGCCUACAAAUAUCAGCCAUAUUCAAGCUUUUUUCUAUAUAUAUAGUCUACACAUCUCAAGGCGACAUGGACAACAUUCAAGCAGCCUUAAAAAUCUAUAAAACAUCUACUUGAGAAGAAGCAUCUUUCAAUGUGGAGACGUGAGAACAAUUUUCAUGAAGAAAAUCUGAAGGAGUUAGAGUCUCAGUUGGUAAUGGAUGACAGAUUUGAUUUUCUUCAUCAAAUAUCUAUACAAAGUGAAGUCUAGCUGAUCAGAAGUGGCAGAUCCAUUUGAAAUAUGACCUGGAGAUUGUGCUCAAGGAGUCAUACCUCAUCUCCACAUUGACCAGAUAAAUGAUCAUUUCAAUGAAAGUGAUCUACAUAGGUAAUUCCUCUUCUGGCAGAAAAGUAAUGCAAACUCACAAAGAAGUAAACUGCCUUUAUCCCAGACUUCAAAAAACUCUCACAAAUUAAACUAAAAGGAAAAUAAGCAUCUCAUAUUAAAAAUAUGGUGAAAAUAAAUAAACAGUCAGAUAUGGAAACACACAUGUAAAAUUCGAGCCCUGAGGCCAAGGCAAGGAGACUGCAACUAUGAAGCCAUUUGAAGCCACAUGGUAAACCAUAAAUUAAUAUAUAAAUAAAUUCUAAGACAAGAAAUCAUGAAUGAAAGCAAUGAGUAGAAACAAUGAAUAACAGAAUCAGCUCUGUAGAUAAUCUAUAUUCAUUAUAUUUAAAGAAUGAGGAAACCAGUUUUGGUAACAGCAGAAGAAACAGAAACCUUAAAUAGGCUAGGAAAAAGUUGGCGUGUUAAAUAAGGGAGUGAUUAGGUAAUUAUAGCUUUGCACAGAGUAUGAUUUCUGAGGUUGCAGUUGGAAGGCAGGGUCUGCUCAGUAUUCAUUGGUUUCUGUACUUGUGUUGCCACCACAUCCUGGCUUAUUUUGCGUUUGCCCAUAAAGCACAAACUUUGUGGUUAACAGGCUUAGCUAAAUUUAGUUGAAAAGCUGGUUUCUGUUUGUGUCUGUCACACAUGUGGACUUUAGUGCCAGUUACAUAACCUCCGCUGGAUUGGUGGCCUAUAUAUUUUAUUUUAUCUUGCAAUCUGAGUCGUGUCUGUUGUUUACAGUGGGAGCCAUUGCUUUGUUACUAAGACCAAGGUAACAGAUGGGAAACCCACUCUACACUGAAACUCACUGACUAUUCUAUCUCUUAUCCUCUUCCUUUAUUUUUUAACUGUCUUUUGCAUCUAAGCUGAAAACACUAAUGAAUUUCUGUUUCUCUUCAGAUAAAGCUCAUAUAUUAGUCUGGCUUAUAGAGCCCAGAAAAAAAAACCCUAAUUCCCCAGUGCCAUCUUAUGGUUCAUUGUUCCUUACCCUUUCAAACUUCUCUGUUAUAAGUUCUCCAAAUGUGAUCCAUUCAACUCGUUAUACGUUUCUUUCUGAAUUUAAGCUUUUUCUCAUCCCCAUGCUUUGGGUGCUGGUUGUAUGACUGUGGCAAAGUAAAGGAUCUUCUAUUGUAGUUGUAUGUCCUGAAGUGAUUUCUAGCAGGGUGAGAUCUUAAUCUCUCUGAGAGCCAAGAUCUUCCAAUGAUCUCUGUGUUACCACCCCAUCUCAGCCCGCAGGUAAAUCUGUCACUGUUUCUUCAGUAAUGCCGUUAUGCACUGCUCAGCUCUAGUCAGGAACAACAAGCAAUCAACUGGUCUACCUACUCUGGACAUAAAGAAGCAAAAACUCACAAUAACUGCCCAAUGUAUUUCCUCAGUUUACCUAUUGGUGCUGUUUUGAGAAAGAAAGUAUAUUCUGCAAAAAACUGAUUUCCUUAUAUGUAUUGUACCAUGAUUUUCUAUUUUCUUAUUUAUAUGUUCUCUGUCUAAAAUGUCAUUUGUGAUGGUUAAUUUUGGAUUUUAAUUUGACUAGGCUGAAAAAGUAUAAAAAAAGGAAAUCUAUUCAGCUUUUCUUUUGCAUGCUGAAUCAAAGUGUAUCUGUGACAUUAUUCAGUUGUCUUUCCAGACUCAACAAAAAUGAAAUCAUUGCUUUUCUUGAUAUAGUGCAGUACUCUGACAGUCUUGUUUCUUUCUUUCACCGAUUCAAUAUGAAAUGACAGUCAGACAUCUUAGCCUGCCCCAAGCUUGAAGUGUGCUAGACAAGAACACAAAGGACUUUCAUUAAAUUGCUGCAUUGAUGGCAGACUGACUUCUCUUCCAAAGGAAUGAGUGGCUCUUUUUCCAUUUGUUACAGAUCAAAAAAGAAGUUAGUACAGCAUUUGCCCAUUGAGGUAGAAUUAGAAAUGGAACAAAAAUUAAAAGCAUGAUAACAAUACACAAAUGGAUUAUAAAAAUUGUAAUGAGGCUGGAAAGAUAAUUGAUCAGGUAAGAGAUUUUGUUUGACAAGCAUGAAAUCCUGAGUUCAGGUCCCAGAAGUGACAUGCUUUCUUGUAACCCCAGCACAGUUAGGGGUGAAAACAAGAGGGAUGUCAGGUUGUGCUGGUUGCCAGCCUUGCUCCAAACUAUGAGAAUGAAGGAGUAAAGAGGUGAGAGGCAGAACAGGACAGAUGCUGCCUUCCUCUGGUAUCAAUGUACAUGCACAGGCAUACACACACACACACACACACACUUAGAUUCACCUC